rnacentral:sRNA from 1 species
GCCGGGCGUGAUGGCACAUGCCUGUAAUUCCAGCUACUUGGGAGGCUGAGACAGGAGAAUUGCUUGAACCCAGGAGGUGGAAGUUGCAGUGAGCUGAAAUUAAGCCACUGCGCUUCAGCCUGGGCAACAGAGCAAGACUCUGUCUCAA